rnacentral:rRNA from 1 species
AGAGUUUGAUCAUGGCUCAGGACGAACGCUGGCGGCGUGCUUAACACAUGCAAGUCGAACGAAGCAUAUCGAAGGAAGUUUUCAGAUGGAAUUUGAUAUGACUUAGUGGCGGACGGGUGAGUAACGCGUGAGCAACCUGGCCAUAAGAGGGGGACAACAGCUGGAAACGGCUGCUAAUACCGCAUAAGACCACACUAUCGCAUGAUAGAGGGGUCAAAGAUUUAUCGCUUAUGGAUGGGCUCGCGUCCCAUUAGCUAGUUGGUAGGGUAACGGCCUACCAAGGCGACGAUGGGUAGCCGACCUGAGAGGGUGAUCGGCCACACUGGAACUGAGACACGGUCCAGACUCCUACGGGAGGCAGCAGUGGGGAAUAUUGGGCAAUGGGGGAAACCCUGACCCAGCAACGCCGCGUGAGGGAAGAAGGCUUUCGGGUUGUAAACCUCUGUCCUUGGGGACGAAGAAAUGACGGUACCCAAGGAGGAAGCUCCGGCUAACUACGUGCCAGCAGCCGCGGUAAUACGUAGGGAGCAAGCGUUGUCCGGAAUUACUGGGCGUAAAGGGUGCGUAGGCGGUUUGUUAAGUCAGAUGUGAAAUACUUGGGCUCAACCCAGGGGCUGCAUUUGAAACUGGCAGACUUGAGUGCAGGAGAGGAAAGCGGAAUUCCUAGUGUAGCGGUGAAAUGCGUAGAUAUUAGGAGGAACACCAGUGGCGAAGGCGGCUUUCUGGACUGUAACUGACGCUGAGGCACGAAAGCGUGGGGAGCAAACAGGAUUAGAUACCCUGGUAGUCCACGCUGUAAACGAUGGAUACUAGGUGUAGGGGCCGAUAGGUUUCUGUGCCGCAGCAAACGCAUUAAGUAUCCCGCCUGGGGAGUACGGUCGCAAGACUGAAACUCAAAGGAAUUGACGGGGGCCCGCACAAGCAGCGGAGCAUGUGGUUUAAUUCGAAGCAACGCGAAGAACCUUACCAAGGCUUGACAUCCUCUGACGUAUGCAGAAAUGUAUAUUUCCUUCGGGACAGAGAGACAGGUGGUGCAUGGUUGUCGUCAGCUCGUGUCGUGAGAUGUUGGGUUAAGUCCCGCAACGAGCGCAACCCCUAUUACUAGUUGCCAGCACUUCGGGUGGGAACUCUAGUGAGACUGCCGGGGAUAACUCGGAGGAAGGUGGGGACGACGUCAAAUCAUCAUGCCCCUUACGUCUUGGGCUACACACGUGCUACAAUGGCCGGUACAAAGGGCUGCAACAACGCAAGUUGAAGCGAAUCUCAAAAAGCCGGUCUCAGUUCGGAUUGUGGGCUGCAACCCGCCCACAUGAAGUCGGAGUUGCUAGUAAUCGCGAAUCAGCAUGUCGCGGUGAAUGCGUUCCCGGGCCUUGUACACACCGCCCGUCACACCACGGAAGCUGGGGGCGCCCGAAGCCAGUGGCCUAACCAGAAAUGGAGGGAGCUGUCGAAGGUGAAAUCAAUGACUGGGGUGAAGUCGUAACAAGGUA